rnacentral:rRNA from 1 species
UAAGGAAUAUUGGACAAUGGAGGCAACUCUGAUCCAGCCAUGCCGCGUGAAGGAAUAAGGCCCUAUGGGUUGUAAACUUCUUUUAGACGGGACAAAACCCCUUUACGUGUAAAGGGUUGAUGGUACUGUCAGAAUAAGCAUCGGCUAACUUCGUGCCAGCAGCCGCGGUAAUACGGAGGGUGCAAGCGUUAUCCGGAUUUACUGGGUUUAAAGGGUGCGUAGGCGGAUGAAUAAGUCAGUGGUGAAAUCUCCGAGCUUAACUCGGAAACUGCCGUUGAUACUAUUUGUCUUGAAUAUUGUGGAGGUAAGCGGAAUAUGUCAUGUAGCGGUGAAAUGCUUAGAUAUGACAUAGAACACCAAUUGCGAAGGCAGCUUGCUACACAAUCAUUGACGCUGAGGCACGAAAGCGUGGGGAUCAAACA